rnacentral:lncRNA from 1 species
AGAGUCGGGGGUCUCCCUAUGUUUCCCAGGCUGGCCUCGAACUCCUGACCUCAAGUGAUCCUCCCACCUCAGCCUCCCCGAGUGCUGGGAUUAAAGACGUGAGCCACGGCACCUGGCCUGAAUUUUCCUCAAAUUCAAAAAAUCCUGAUGAAGGUUUGGCUAAAAUCUUUGGCUAUUCCCAACAGAAGAGCUUGAACAAUGCUGCAUUUGCAUCAGGUUCAAAUGAGCGAGAGGAACAUUUGGCUAAAAUAUUUGACACUUAAGGAAACUUUUAUCAGGUCAUUGACUAACUUCAGAGAUAAGAAAACAGAAAAUUCAGCACUUUCACACAACAAGAAGUACGCACUUUGCAAAACUAGUUUGGAAAAGUUACAAAAAGAUGGCUUCAGCCUUCAAUAAGCAAAAAUCAACAAUCACUGAAAGAGAGGAUUAGAUUUCCAGAGUUAUCAAAAUGUAAUACACAGAAUGUCCAUCUCUCAACGUAAAAUUAUAAAACAUACAAAGAAACAGGAAAGGAUGGCUCAUUCACAGGAAAAA